AGUAAAAUGCCUGAUUAAAGGAUUAUCGUGAUAGGGUAAAUAAUGUAUUAUAAUUACUUUUACUA
rnacentral:tRNA from 1 species